GUGCACUUAAGUGUUGUAUCCAUAUGCAGAGCACUGUACAUAUAGAUCCAUGUUUAUAUGCAUAUGCUCUGCACAUUGUGUGUGCUUGUGUAUAUGUGUGAAGAACAUUUUCUAUUCAUAUGCAGAGCAAUGUUUAUAUAUGCCUUUGUAAAAUCAAACCAUGGACUCUAUGCAUGUGCAGAGCAUUGUGUAAAUGUUGAUCAGAUUAUAUGUCUGAUAGAUGCUG